AGAACGAACGCUGGCGGCAGGCCUCAAACAUGCAAGUCUAGGGGGUGUAGCAAUACAUCACCGGCGGACGGGUGCGUAACACGUGGGAAUAUACCUUUUGGUUCGGAACAACGCAGGGAAACUUGCGCUAAUACCGAAUGUGCCCUUACGGGGAAAGAUUUAUCGCCAAAGGAUUAGCCCGCGUAGGAUUAGCUAGUUGGUGAGGUAAUGGCUCACCAAGGCUCCGAUCCUUAGCUGUUCUGAGAGGAAGAUCAGCCACACUGGGACUGAGACACGGCCCAGACUCCUACGGGAGGCAGCAGUUGGGAAUCUUGGACAAUGGGGGAAACCCUGAUCCAGCCAUGCCGCGUGAGUGAUGAAGGCCUUCGGGUUGUAAACUCGUUUCGACGGGGACGAUAAUGACGGUACCCGUAGAAGAAGCUCCGGCUAACUUCGCGCCAGCACGCCGC
rnacentral:rRNA from 1 species